rnacentral:miRNA from 14 species
CAUUUUUGUUUAUUUGUGUGUAUUUUGUGUAUGCUUGUGUAUGUGUACACACACACAUACACACACACAAACACACACAUAUGCACACACACACAAA